rnacentral:rRNA from 1 species
AGCGAAUGGAUUAAGAGCUUGCUCUUAUGAAGUUAGCGGCGGACGGGUGAAGUAACACGUGGGUAACCUGCCCAUAAGACUGGGAUAACUCCGGGAAACCGGGGCUAAUACCGGAUAACAUUUUGAACCGCAUGGUUCGAAAUUGAAAGGCGGCUUCGGCUGUCACUUAUGGAUGGACCCGCGUCGCAUUAGCUAGUUGGUGAGGUAACGGCUCCACCAAGGGCAACGAUGCGUAGCCGACCUGAGAGGGUGAUCGGCCACACUGGGCACACUGGGAGACACGGCCCAGACUCCUACGGGAGGCAGCAGUAGGGAAUCUUCGCCGCAAUGGACGAAAGUCUGACGGAGCAACGCCGCGUGAGUGAUGAAGGCUUUCGGGUCGUAAAACUCUGUUGUUAGGGAAGAACAAGUGCUAGUUGGAAUACAAGCUGGCACCUUGACGGUACCUAACCAGAAAGCCACGGCUAACUACGUGCCAGCAAGCCGCGGUCAAUACGUAGGUGGCAAGCGUUAUCCGGAAUUAUUGGGCGUAAAGCGCGCGCAGGUGGUUUCUUAAGUCUGAUGUGAAAGCCCACGGCUCAACC